AUGUCAACAUGAUCAAAUCUUGGACUUCAAGAUAGAGCCUCUCCUCUUAUAGAACAACUUACAUUUUUCCACGACCACGCCUUAUUAAUUCUUAUCAUAAUUACUAUCCUAGUAGGCUACAUUAUAUCUAUGUUAUUCUUCAACAAAUUCACAAACCGAUAUCUACUACACGGCCAAGCAAUUGAAAUCAUUUGAACUAUCCUUCCAGCCAUCGUUCUACUAUUUAUUGCCUUCCCAUCUCUGCGCCUCCUAUACUUACUAGACGAAAUUAAUGAACCAGUAAUCACCUUAAAAUCAAUUGGACAUCAAUGAUACUGAAGUUAUGAAUAUUCGGACUUCAUUGACUUAGAAUUCGAUUCAUAUAUAGUGCCAACAAAUGAAUUACAAGAAAGCAGCUUCCGAUUAUUGGACGUUGAUAACCGAGUAGUUCUCCCUAUAAAUUCUCAAAUUCGGAUCCUAGUAACAGCAGCAGAUGUAAUUCACUCGUGAACUGUCCCAGCCCUAGGAGUAAAGGUAGACGGAACACCGGGACGGCUAAAUCAAACCAAUUUUUUAAUCAGUCGCCCAGGUGUAUUCUUUGGUCAAUGCUCAGAAAUUUGUGGAGCAAAUCAUAGAUUCAUACCAAUCGUAAUUGAAAGAGUACCAGUUAACUAUUUUAUCAAAUGAAUUCCG
rnacentral:rRNA from 1 species